UGAGAUGUACUGUUUGUAAUGGCCCUUGAUGUUUCUGUGUGUUUUUUUUCCAUUUAGAAUUGAAACACUACCGAGCAUUCUGGGAUCCAUGACAGUGUCUAGCAUUUAGUAGCUUAUCAGUGCUACUGGCCAAAAGGAUGAGUCCAAGUUAAUGGAUCUGGGCUGGGGAUGAUGGCUCAUGUGAAAUGUAUUGAGAUGGUCAGUCAAUUGAGGCCCCAACUGGUGAAGCAAGUGACACAUUCUCCUUCUCUCAUGAACCGUCCACCCUUUAUGCCUGUGAAAUUCUGAAGUACCUAUAUUUAAUGUAAGUAUUGCUAAUUUGGGACACAAACUUGCCCAUUGUUGCUUGCUGUUUAUCCUCUUAGUUUUCUUCUUUUUCUGACUCCCUGUGGGUUACCUGAACAUCAUUUAGAAUUCUGUUUUGAUAGUUAUAGGUAGUGCAUAUAGGUUUGUCUCUGUGUUGCUUUAUUAAUGGUGAUGUGUGAGAGAGCAUAUUCGUGUGUGUGUGUGUGUGUGUGUGUGUGUGUGUGUGUGUGUGUGUGUGUGUGUGUAGAAAUGAUGUUUUGUAGUUCCUUUAACCUUCCCUGAUUAUAAUACAGCUGCCUGAAUCAUUUCUUUUCCACACGUUGAGUGCCCAGGCAUGAGGGAGGGAAACUUGAGCUUCUGAACAUUACUGAUGCCCGCCCUGCCCUGUGGAGAGUCUGAACCCCUCAUUACAGCCUGGUGAGGGAAAUAUGUAGGGGUCCAACAGUUGGGCUUCCGGGCGUGGGUGGCGCUAAGCCUUUUCCCGUGGUGUGUUUAUCUUGAGAAGAGCAAUUUUUGUCUGAAAGCUUUGUCUUGCUAGCUUGCCCUUUCCACAGUUCGGCUAAAAAUAG
rnacentral:lncRNA from 1 species